UACGGGGGGAGCAAGCGUUGUUCGGAUUUACUGGCGUAAAGGGCGCGUAGGCGGUUAGCACAAGUCAGUUGUGAAAUCUCCGGGCUUAACCCGGAAAGGUCAACUGAUACUGUGCGACUAGAGUGCGGAAGGGGCAACUGGAAUUCUCGGUGUAGCGGUGAAAUGCGUAGAUAUCGAGAGGAACACCUGCGGCGAAGGCGGGUUGCUGGGCCGACACUGACGCUGAUGCGCGAAAGCCAGGGGAGCGAACGGG
rnacentral:rRNA from 1 species